rnacentral:snRNA from 2 species
UCGCUUCCGCAGCAAGUAUAGAAAAACUGGAAUGAUACAGAGAAGAUUAGCAUGGCCCCUGUGCAAGGACGACACGCAAAUUCAUUCCAUAUUUUU